rnacentral:rRNA from 1 species
GACGAACGCUGGCGGCGUGCUUAACACAUGCAAGUCGAACGGAAAGGCCCUGCUUUUGUGGGGUGCUCGAGUGGCGAACGGGUGAGUAACACGUGAGUAACCUGCCCUUGACUUUGGGAUAACUUCAGGAAACUGGGGCUAAUACCGGAUAGGAGCUCCUGCUGCAUGGUGGGGGUUGGAAAGUUUCGGCGGUUGGGGAUGGACUCGCGGCUUAUCAGCUUGUUGGUGGGGUAGUGGCUUACCAAGGCUUUGACGGGUAGCCGGCCUGAGAGGGUGACCGGCCACAUUGGGACUGAGAUACGGACCAGACUCCUACGGGAGGCAGCAGUGGGGAAUAUUGCACAAUGAGCGGAAGCCUGAUGUAGCAACGCCGCGUGCGGGAUGACGGCCUUCGGGUUGUAGACCGCUUUCGCCUGUGACGAAGCGUGAGUGACGGUAAUGGGUAAAGAAGCACCGGCUAACUACGUG